rnacentral:misc_RNA from 1 species
AAUAGCUAUGCAAACAAGAGUACGUUAUAAGAGUACCGAAAACUCAGGUACAAAAGGGAUGUCUUGCUGAAGAGAAUAAUCAGUAGUCAAUAGUCGUAGUUGGAGUCACGACUGAGUUGCGACUAGUUGCAGUUACGAGUAAGCUGCGAGUAGUUGCGGGUUAAUCGUUGCUUAUGAGUUGUGGAGUUGUCGCGGAGCUGUUGUGAGGUUGUCGUGGAGUCGUGGAGUCGUGGAGUUGUCAUGAGGUUGUCGUGGAGUUGUCAUGAGGUUGUCGUGGAGUUGUCAUGAGGUUGUCGUGGAGUUGUCGUGGAGUUGUCGUGGAGUGGACACCGCGGAAGAACAGUCGCGGUGGAGUGGACGGACGAUUGGGAAGUCACGGAGGAAGAGCUGUUGGAGGCGACCAAAAGAAUGGCCUCCCGCGAUGUGGUGCCGCGCUCGGACGGGAUCCUGGGCCGGAUCACACGCGUAGGCAGGCCAUCGUGGAGUUUUAGUCGGUAAAAGUCCGACACUACUCUGCUGCUGUCUGCAGCGGCAGAGUGUCCAUGAGGAUUUCUCCACGUAAAAAAAAAA